CGGCGGAGGAAAUGGCAUUGUUGGCUUACAAUAGAGCAUUAAAGCUUUCUAAACCAGGUUCACCAGUUCUAGGUGUGGGUUUUACUGGUGCCCUGGCUAGUGCACAACCAAAACGUGGAGAUCAUAGGUUUCACGUGUCAACCAGAACAUCUAACCGGUUUUGGACCUCGACAGUUACUUUGACUAAGGGUCUGCGAACUCGUGAGCAG
rnacentral:misc_RNA from 1 species